rnacentral:miRNA from 1 species
AGCUAGAUACCUUCGUCACUUUGU